rnacentral:rRNA from 1 species
UACGGAGGGGGCUAGCGUUGUUCGGAAUUACUGGGCGUAAAGCGCACGUAGGCGGCUUUGCAAGUUAGAGGUGAAAGCCCGGGGCUCAACUCCGGAAUUGCCUUUAAAACUGCAUCGCUAGAGUUGUGGAGAGGUAAGUGGAAUUCCGAGUGUAGAGGUGAAAUUCGUAGAUAUUCGGAAGAACACCAGUGGCGAAGGCGACUUACUGGACACAUACUGACGCUGAGGAGCGAAAGCGUGGGGAGCGAACAGG